GACGAACGCUGGCGGCGUGCCUAAUACAUGCAAGUAGAACGCAGUUGCGAACGAGAGAGUAACGCGUAGGUAACUGCCUGGUAGCGGGGGUUAACAAUUGGAAACGAUAGCGAAUACCGCAUACUACCAGAUGGACCUGCGUUGUAUUAGCUAGUUGGAGGGGUAACGGCUCACCAAGGCAACUAUACAUAGCCGACCGGGGAGGGUGAUCGGCCACACUGGGGCUGAGACACGGCCCAGACUACUACGGGAGGCAGCACUGUAGAAACUUCGGCAAUGGGGGGAACCCUGACCGAGCAAGGCCGCGUAAUUC
rnacentral:rRNA from 1 species